CCUCUCUCAGGAUGGCACCUGGAGAGUUUCCAGUACUUUACCAGUCUUGGCAACAGGAGGGAGAGUCAAGCAGAGGCACACCCACUCCAUUCCUAUCUUGGCCAGUGGCUAGUGAGUGGAAGGCAAUCUGCUACAAGU